rnacentral:rRNA from 1 species
CCAACAGGGAUUGCCUCAGUAACGGCGAGUGAAGCGGCAACAGCUCAAAUUUGAAAUCUGGCCUCUCGAGGUCCGAGUUGUAAUUUGUAGAGGAUGUUUCGGGUACCGCCUCGGUUUAAAUUUCUUGGAACAGAAUGUCAGAGAGGGUGAGAAUCCCGUCUUGGACCGGUGGUAGGGCCUAUGUGAAACUCCUUCGACGAGUCGAGUUGUUUGGGAAUGCAGCUCAAAAUGGGUGGUAAAUUUCAUCUAAAGCUAAAUAUUGGCCAGAGACCGAUAGCGCACAAGUAGAGUGAUCGAAAGAUGAAAAGCACUUUGAAAAGAGAGUUAAACAGUAUGUGAAAUUGUUGAAAGGGAAGCGCUUGCAACCAGACUUGAGCGCGGCGGUUCCCCCUCGCUUCUGCUUGGGUUACUCCGCCGUGUCCAGGCCAACAUCGGUUCUAGGGGUCGGUCAAAGGCCCUGGGAAUGUAUCUACCUACGGGUAGACUUAUAGACCAGGGUGCCAUGCGACCUCCCGGGACCGAGGAACGCGCUUCGGCUCGGAUGUUGGCGUAAUGGUUGUCAGCGGCCC